rnacentral:rRNA from 1 species
UACGUAGGUGGCAAGCGUUGUCCGGAUUUACUGGGCGUAAAGGGCGUGCAGGCGGUCUGUUAAGUUCAGGGUGAAAGCUCCCGGCUCAACUGGGAGAGGUCCUUGGAUACUGGCAGACUUGAGGGAGGUAGAGGAGAGUGGAAUUCCCGGUGUAGUGGUGAUAUGCGUAGAUAUCGGGAGGAACACCAGUGGCGAAGGCGACUACCUGGCCCAUUCUUGACGCUGAGGCGCGAAAGCUAGGGGAGCGAACGGG